rnacentral:rRNA from 1 species
GAUGAACGCUGGCGGCGUGCUUAACACAUGCAAGUCGAACGGAAAGGCUCCUGCUUGCAGGGGUACUCGAGUGGCGAACGGGUGAGUAACACGUGGGUGACCUGCCCUGCACCUCGGGAUAAGCCUGGGAAACUGGGUCUAAUACCGGAUAGGACGAUGGUUUGGAUGCCAUUGUGGUAAGUUUUUUCGGUGUAGGAUGAGCUCGCGGCCUAGCAGCUUGUUGGUGGGGUAAUGGCCUACCAAGGCGUCGACGAGUAGCCGGCCUGAGAGGGUGUACGGGCACAGUAGGCUUGGGAUAGGAGCCGGACUCAUACUGGAGGCAGGGAUGGGAAAUAUUGCACAAUAGGCGGAAGCAUGAUGCAGCGACGCCGGAUGGGAGAUGACGGCCGUCGGGUUAUAAACACCUUUCGCUAGGAACGAAGCGAAAGUGACGGUACCUGGAGAGGAAGCACCGGCUAACUACGUG